UGAAGGAGGAGGAGGAGGAAGAGGAGCAACCUGCAGCACCAGCAGUGAAGGAGGAGGAGGAGGAGCAACCUGCAGCACCUCCUGCAGCAGCAGUAAAGGAGGAAGAGGAGGAGUAUGUGGUGGAGAAGGUUUUGGACCGCAGAGUGGUGAAGGGAAGAGUACAGUUUCUGCUGAAAUGGAAGGGGUUCUCAGAUGAGGAUAACACAUGGGAGCCUCAAGACAACCUGGACCUCGACCUUAUCACCGAGUACAUGCAGAAACACAAGGAGAAGGAGGAGAAGAAGAAGGAGGGCAAGAGGAACGUUGUUAGUGAGGCCUCGGGAGACUCAGAGGAGCGAGGGAGCAAGAGGAAGAAGGAGGAGAAACAGAGAGGAGGAGAGGGACCCAUACGUCCCCACUGUCAACACUGUGACAAAUCCUUCACAACAUCUGGAUAUUUAAAGAUUCAUCAGAGAGUUCACACUGGAGAGAAUCUACACAGCUGUGAUCAAUGUGGGGCAGCUUUCACACUACAGAGUACCCUAAAAAUACAUCAACGCAUUCACACUGGAGAGAAGCCUUACAGCUGUGAUCAAUGUGGUACAACAUUUUCUCAGAGCAGUAACCUUAAAUCUCACCAGCGUGUUCACACUGGAGAGAAGCCUUACAGCUGUGAUCUAUGUGGUAAAGCUUUGCUAGGAGUAAUAGCCUAGAAAUGCACAGACGUGUUCACACUGCAGAGAAGCCGUACUGCUGUGAAAAAUGUGGGAAAACAUUUUCUCAGAAUGCUAACCUUAAAUCUCAC